rnacentral:rRNA from 1 species
ACUCCUACGGGAGGCAGCAGUGGGGAAUAUUGCACAAUGGAGGAAACUCUGAUGCAGCAACGCCGCGUGGAGGAUGACUACUUUCGGAGCGUAAACUCCUUUAUAUAGGAAGAUAAUGACGGUACUAUAUGAAUAAGCACCGGCUAACUCCGUGCCAGCAGCCGCGGUAAUACGGAGGUGCAAGUCGUUACUCGGAAUCACUGGGACGUAAAGAGCGUGUAGGCGGGUUAUUAAGCAGAAGUGAAAUCCUAUGGCUCAACCAUAGAACUGCUUUGAAACUGGUAACCUAGAGUAUGGGAGAGGUAGAUGGAAUUUCUGGUAGUAGGGUAAAAUCCGUAGAGAUCAGAAGGAAUACCGAUUGCGAAGUCGAUCUACUGGAACAUUACUGACGCUGAGACGCGAAAGCGUGGGGAGCGAAACAGGAUUAGAGUACCCUGGUAGACUGUCA